GCUAAUACCCCAUAUGCUUUCGAGUGAAAUGGAUUUUUCCGCCUAGAGAGAAGCUUGCGCCUGAUUAGCUUGUUGGUAAGGUAAUGGCUUACCAAGGCGACGAUCAGUAUCUGGUUUGAGAGGAUGAUCAGACACACUGGAACUGAGACACGGUCCAGACUCCUACGGGAGGCAGCAGUGGGGAAUUUUCCGCAAUGGGCGAAAGCCUGACGGAGCAAUCUCGCGUGAGGGAUGACGGCCUAUGGGUUGUAAACCUCUUUUUUCAGGGAGGAAUAAAAUGACGUGUACCUGAAGAAUAAGCAUCGGCUAACUCCGUGCCAGCAGCCGCGGUAAGACGGAGGAUGCAAGUGUUAUCCGGAAUCACUGGGCGUAAAGCGUCUGUAGGUGGUUUAGUAAGUCAACUGUUAAAUCUUGGAGCUUAACUUCAAAAUCGCAGUCGAAACUGCUAGACUAGAGUAUAGUAGGGGUAAAGGGAAUUUCCAGUGGAGCGGUGAAAUGCGUAGAGAUUGGAAAGAACACCGAUGGCGAAGGCACUUUACUGGGCUAUUACUGACACUCAGAGACGAAAGCUAGGGUAGCAAAUGGGAUUAGAUACCCCAGUAGUCCUAGCCGUAAACAAUGGAUACUAGAUGUUGAACAGAUCGACCUGUGCAGUAUUAAAGCUAACGCGUUAAGUAUCCCGCCUGGGAAGUAUGCUCGCAAGA
rnacentral:rRNA from 1 species